rnacentral:rRNA from 1 species
CCUACGUGUGGCUGCAGUGGGGAAUAUUGGACAAUGGGCGAAAGCCUGAUCCAGCCAUGCCGCGUGUGUGAAGAAGGCCUUCGGGUUGUAAAGCACUUUCAGUGGGGAAGAAAGCCUUGGGGCUAAUACCCUCGAGGAAGGACAUCACCCACAGAAGAAGCACCGGCUAACUCCGUGCCAGCAGCCGCGGUAAUACGGAGGGUGCGAGCGUUAAUCGGAAUUACUGGGCGUAAAGCGCGCGUAGGCGGUCUGAUAAGCCGGUUGUGAAAGCCCCGGGCUCAACCUGGGAACGGCAUCCGGAACUGUCAGGCUAGAGUGCAGGAGAGGAAGGUAGAAUUCCCGGUGUAGCGGUGAAAUGCGUAGAGAUCGGGAGGAAUACCAGUGGCGAAGGCGGCCUUCUGGACUGACACUGACGCUGAGGUGCGAAAGCGUGGGUAGCAAACAGGAUUAGAUACCCCUGUAGUC